AUGAUGGAUGGAAGGACAAUGGAUGGAUGGAUGAUGGUAAGAAAGUGGGUGGAUGGAGCUGAGGGGGCGGUAGGUGGAGAGGAAGGAUGUGGGGGGACAGGGACCUCUCCCCCCUACCCCUCCUUGGCGGAGGGAUCCAUCCAUCAUCCGUCCGUCUGUCCGUCCCCUGGCAGCCCCCCAACCACCCCCAUGGAGAGGACCCAAGCGUUGAGGGGGCAGAGGAAGGGGGAUGAAUGGGAGGUGACAAGGGGACGGGAUGGGGACGGGGGACGGAAACGCGCCAAUGGCGCGUUUCCGUCCCCCGUCCCCAUCCCCGGUCGCCGCCGCCGCCACAAAAAAAAGUCCUUUCAGCCCCCGCCAACCCUUGGCCACGACGUGGCUUCCGCCAUGGAUGCCAACUGGGGACACCAGGGAACACCAGGGGACACCCUGGGGGGUCUCCUUGGAGCUUGGUGGCCAAAGGCCGUUGAGGGGACACACACACGACGCAUGGGGACACCGGUGAGAGGCGGAGAGGACAGUGACACCACCCUGUCCCCCCCCUACAAGCCAUCGUGUCCCCCGUUGUGUCCCCAGGGACACCAGGUCCUCCAGAGUCACCCUGUGUGUCCUGGAGCUACUGGGGGUCCCCAGAGACACCCCGUGUCCCCAGUAUCCCCCGUUGUGUCCCCAGGGGACACCAGGUCCUCCAGAGUCACCCUGAGUGUCCUGGAGCUACUGUGGGUCCCCAGAGACACCCAGUGUCCCCAAGGUCCCCCAUGUGUCCCCAAAGCCACCGUGUCCCCUGGGUCCCCAUGUGUCCUGGAGCUGCUGGGGGUCCCCAGAGACACCCCAUGUCCCCAAUGUCCCCCGUUGUGUCCCCAAGGGACACCAGGUCCUCCAGAGUCACCCUCUGUGUCCUGGAGCUACUGGGGAUCCCCAGAGACACCCCGUGUCCCCAAAGCCACCAUGUCCCCUGGGUCCCCAUGUGUCCCCCAAAGCCACCGUGUCCCCUGGGUCCCCAUGGUUCCUGGAGCUACUGGGGGUCCCCAGAGACACCGUGUGUCCCCACCACCAUGUCCCCUGGGUCCCCAUGUGUCCCCCAAAGCCACCGUGUCCCCUGGGUCCCCAUGGUUCCUGGAGCUACUGGGGGUCCCCAGAGACACCGUGUGUCCCCAGUGUCCCCCGUUGUGUCCCCAGGGACACCAGGUCCUCCAGAGUCACCCUCUGUGUCCUGGAGCUACUGGGGAUCCCCAGAGACACUGUGUGUCCCCAAGGUCCCCGUGUGUCCCCCAGAGUCACCGUGUCCCCUGGGUCCCUGUGUGUCCUGGAGCUACUGGGGGUCUCCAGAGACACCAUGUCCCCAGGGUCCCCCGUUGUGUCCCCAGGGACACCAGGUCCCCCCAGAGUCACCUUGUGUGUCCUGGAGCUACUGGGGAUCCCCAGAGACACCCCGUGUCCCCAAAGCCACCAUGUCCCCUGGGUCCCCAUGUGUCCCCCAAAGCCACCGUGUCCCCUGGGUCCCCAUGGUUCCUGGAGCUACUGGGGGUCCCCAGAGACACCGUGUGUCCCCAGUGUCCCCCGUUGUGUCCCCAGGGACACCAGGUCCUCCAGAGUCACCCUCUGUGUCCUGGAGCUACUGGGGAUCCCCAGAGACACUGUGUGUCCCCAAGGUCCCCGUGUGUCCCCCAGAGUCACCGUGUCCCCUGGGUCCCUGUGUGUCCUGGAGCUACUGGGGGUCUCCAGAGACACCAUGUCCCCAGGGUCCCCCGUUGUGUCCCCAGGGACACCAGGUCCCCCCAGAGUCACCUUGUGUGUCCUGGAGCUACUGGGGGUCCCCAGAGACACCGUGUCCCCAAAGCCACCCAAGGUCCCCCAUGUGUCCCCAGGGACACGAGGUCCCCAGGGUCCCCGUGUGUCCUGGAGCUACUGGGGGUCCCCAGAGACACUGUGUGUCCCCAAAGCCACCCUGUCCCCUGGGUCCCCAUGUGUCCUGGAGCUGCUGGGAAUCCCCAGAGACACCAUGUCCCCAAGGUCCCCCAUGUGUCCCCAGGGACACGAGGUCCCAAGAGCCACCCUGUGUGUCCUGGAGCUGCCAGGGGAUCUCCCCAGAGACACCGUGUGUCCCCAAGGUCCCCAUGUGUCCCCCAAAGCCACCGUGUCCCCAGGGUCCCCGUGUGUCCUGGAGCUGCCAGGGGAUCUCCCCAGAGACACCGUGUGUCCCCAAGGUCCCCGUGUGUCCCCCAGAGUCACCCUGUCCCCAGGGUCCCCGUGUGUCCUGGAGCUACUGGGGGUCCCCAGAGACACUCUGUGUCCCCAAAGCCACCCUGUCCCCCCAGCUCUGCCCAUCCAGGUGGCAGCAGGUCCCCAGCCGUGUCCUCAGGGGAGGGACAGCAGCCCCCACACCCCUCUUUGGGGUCCCUGCACCCCCUUUGGGGUUCAGACUCCCCUUUUGGGGGGUUUUCCACCCCCUCAGGUCCCUGCAUCCACCUUUGGGGUCCCCACGCUCUUUCUGGGGGGGGGUCUCUGCACACACUCCCGGGUCCCCUGCGCCCCUUCCUGGGGGUCCCAACCCCUUUCCUUGGGGUGCCCAGGCCCUUCUUUGGGAUUUCUGCCCCCCCCCCUUCAUUUUCGGGGUCACCGCGUCCCAUAAAGCCCCUGGCGGGUGCCGCGUGCCCCCGUGCCCCCCGGCAGGGCUCCCGUGCGGGGGACACGGGUUGUGACAACCCGGUGCUUGUUCCCGACGUGGGGCCGGUGCCCGCGGGCAGAACCGGGGCCGGGGCCGGUUACCCAUUAA
rnacentral:lncRNA from 1 species